rnacentral:misc_RNA from 1 species
GAUGAAGAACGUAGCGAAAUGCGAUAAGUAAUGUGAAUUGCAGAAUUCAGUGAAUCAUCGAAUCUUUGAACGCACAUUGCGCCCGCCAGUAUUCUGGCGGGCAUGCCUGUCCGAGCGUCAUUUCAACCCUCGCGCCCAUCUGGGCUGCGGUGUUGGGGACCGGCCUGCCCCCCCGGGGCGCGCCGUCCCCCAAAUUCAGUGGCGGUCUCGCUGCAGCCUCCCUUGCGUAGUAGCACACCUCGCACCGGAGCGCAGCGCGGCCACGCCGUAAAACCCCCGACCCCCAUGAGUUUGACCUCGGAUCAGGUAGGAAUACCCGCUGAACUUAAGAAUAUCAAUAAGCGGAGA